rnacentral:miRNA from 1 species
ACAGUAUUGUCAGUUCUCUGUUAGUUUUGCAUAGUUGCGCUGCAAGAAGAAAUGAGUUGUGCAAAUCUAUGCAAAACUGACGGGGCCCUGUGAUUUCAUCCGAAU